AGCGAACGCUGGCGGCAGGCCUAAUACAUGCAAGUCGAGCGCACCUUCGGGUGAGCGGCGGACGGGUGAGUAACGCGUGGGAACGUGCCCUUUGGUACGGGAUAACUGAGGGAAACUUCAGCUAAUACCGUAUGUGCCCUACGGGGGAAAGAUUUACCGCCAUUGGAGCGGCCCGCGUUGGAUUAGGUAGUUGGUGAGGUAAAGGCUCACCAAGCCUACGAUCCAUAGCUGGUCUGAGAGGAUGAUCAGCCACACUGGGACUGAGACACGGCCCAGACUCCUACGGGAGGCAGCAGUAGGGAAUCUUGCGCAAUGGGCGAAAGCCUGACGCAGCCAUGCCGCGUGAAUGAUGAAGGUCUUAGGAUUGUAAAAUUCUUUCACCGGGGAAGAUAAUGACGGUACCCGGAGAAGAAGCCCCGGCUAACUUCGUGCCAGCCGCCGCGGUAAUAC
rnacentral:rRNA from 1 species